rnacentral:rRNA from 1 species
ACGCUCGACACCUACGGGGGGCAGCAGUCGGGAAUAUUGCGCAAUGGAGGGAACUCUGACGCAGUGACGCCGCGUAUAGGAAGAAGGUUUUCGGAUUGUAAACUAUUGUCGUUAGGGAAGAGAAAGGACAGUACCUAAGGAGGAAGCUCCGGCUAACUACGUGCCAGCAGCAGCGGUAAUCUGAGCGGGCUGGCAAGGC